rnacentral:rRNA from 1 species
UACGUAGGCAGCAAACGUUGUUUGGAAUUACUGGGCGUAAAGAGUGUGUAGGCGGUUCUGCAAGUUUGGUGUGAAAUCUCCCGGCUUAACUGGGAGGGUGCGCCGAAAACUGCAAAGCUAGAGUACUGGAGAGGAAAGCGGAAUUCCUGGUGUAGCGGUGAAAUGCGUAGAUAUCAGGAGGAACACCGGUGGUGUAGACGGCUUUCUGGACAGUAACUGACGCUGAGACACGAAAGCGUGGGGAGCGAACAGG